rnacentral:rRNA from 1 species
CAGAACGUCGUGAGACAGUUCGGUCUCUAUCUGUUGUGGGCGUAUGAGAUUUGCGGAGACCCGACACUAGUACGAGAGGACCGUGUUGGACAGACCUCCUGUGAGCCGGUUGUACCGCCAGGUGCACUGCCGGGUAGCAGCGUCUGGGUAGGAUAAGUGCUGAAAGCAUCUAAGCACGAAGCCAACUCCAAGAUAAGAUCUCAAUGAGGGCCGUUGAAGACGACGACGUAGAUAGGCUGCAGGUGUAAGCAUGGCGACAUGUUAGCUGAGCAGUACUAAUUGCCCGAAUACUUCGUACAA